AGAUGAUAAAAGGUAGCGUGGUGUGUGUGCCUUGAUAAAACAGGAGCUUUACUUCCAAAGGUCUUACGCAGGCUGACGGCAGUCCUGGAGAAGAGAUCCGGCCUCGCUCCAGCGGGAUACACACGCAGAUUUUAAUCAGGAGCGACAGCUAUGGAGCAGAGCUGUGUGUGCAGCACCUCUGAGACCUGUACUCCUGCUGGUGCUCACACUUGCAUGGAGGAGGAGGCACUGAAGACAAGAUCACGCAGUGUCUUUGCCAUAGCCCAGCCUGCAAAUGUGAGUGUUGUUUCAGCGUGUCCCUCAUCCUCACAUCCUAAUUCCAGGGCAGCUAUACUUUGCUCUUCUGUUUUGUGCAGCAGCAUCUCUGUGUCUGCACAACUGAAAUUCUAUCCCAACUUUCACCCCCUCAUGUCUGGAGUUACUUAGGAGGACACUCACACUAUUUCUAUUUGUUCAAAAUGCUGCUAGUGAUACUCAUUUCUUGCCUUGUAAUUUAAGCACUUUAUCACUCUUCUUGCAUCUCUUUGCUGACUUGCUUUCAUCCCCUCUAUCCACUGUCAUUCUGCAUUUUUAAGACCCUUCCAAGCCUGCCCAGCGAGGCUGUGAAGCUGUUAACUCUUGUUUCUGCCUGAGGAUGAUACCAGUCAUUCUCAUCCUCCUGCUUCACCUUUUCUUAUGUUCUUUACCAGGGAUGAGCAAAGUUCCUUGUAACCCCAGCAGGGCAGCUCCAUGGAGUGCCUCCUAGGCUGGCCUUGAAAUUCCCUUAGCAGUGAUGCCUGUGUGCCAGUAGGCACGCAGUGUGUCACCUUGGCCUGGCUUGUGUCUGUGCUGA